ACUUCGCAAUGGGGGCAACCCCGACGAGGGAAUUCCAAGUGCCAGCACUUUGUGUUGGCUGUUCUCCUGUCUAAAAAACAGGAGGAGUAAGGGGCGGGUAAGACGGGUGCCAGCCGCCGCGGUAAUACCCGCGCCCCUAGUGGUGGUCGAUAUUAUUGAGCCUAAAACGUCCGUAGCCGGUCUUUUAAAUCUUUGGGCAAAUCGGGCAGCUUAACUGUCCGACUUCCGAGGAGACUGGAAGACUUGGGACCGGGAGAGGUCAGAGGUACUUCUGGGGUAGGGGUAAAAUCCUGUAAUCCUGGAAGGACCACCGGUGGCGAAGGCGUCUGACUAGAACGGAUCCGACGGUGAGGGACGAAGCCCUGGGGCGCAAACGGGA
rnacentral:rRNA from 1 species